rnacentral:lncRNA from 1 species
UGAGAUCUACACAAAUAUCAUAACCUCAAUCAUAAGCAUAUCACUUGUCAUGUAAAUAAUAGAUCCACUAGGUUAGAACACUUACUUGGUAUCCAUCUUGAUAAGUUAUACAACUCUUCAUAAAUAUUUAGUAUAUUCAUAUAUUUCAAAAUAAUUAAUUUCUUAUUAAUAAAAUAUCGAUGUCACACAAAAAAAUAGUAUCAAUCCACACUUUAGAUUGUAGAUCCGAAUUGCCUCAACCCUUAUUUACGGUUUCACUCGAUCUAUCUCACAAGACUGAUCUAUCACAUAAGUAACAUGUAUUAGUGUGGAUCUUUGAAAAUGUUUUGUCACUUGAGAGAUCAAUCAUUAAUAGUCUUAGCAUCACUUGCCCCACAAUCUAAGACUCUGGAAAAGAGGAUUUCCUUUGCGAAGUUAGGGUUCUCCUCUACGAUUAUUGUUCGAUCCUUCAAA